GUCUUUGUGGAGUAAUGGGACUCACUCGCACCUGCUGAAUUCAGAGUCGUACAGCCAUGGGAGAGUCGGUGGCUCGAAUCCACCCGAAGACA